AGCAAUCGUUAGUCUGCUCUCUGUUCAGUUCAACCCCCUAUGCCUAGUGCUUCAGUUAACUCUCGUUUUGCGUUCCUUUUUUUCCAGCCUGGACUUCCACCUGCUCAAAGCCAGUCCGUCAACCCAUCUCAAGCCUCAGCCGUCCGUUGCCACUUCGGAUCCUUCCCUGUUCCAGACCAUCCACACUACACCUGAUUCAUGCCACCACAUGCACCUCACGCCGUCUUUGUCCACUGCAUAAUGUGUGGUGACGUCUAUGUGUCAGAACAGCCGCUACAGAGACAACAUGUUGGAAAGGUGUGCUUGGCACAGACGCUGUGGCGGCAGGUGAUGUCUAUCAGCAAUCAUCAUCAGCAGAAGUACGAGCAGGUGGAUCGGAGCCAAUCUGGAUUCUCCCUUGCCACAAUAAAACCGGAUGCCACUCAUCACUCUAUGCCAGACUGUGAAUGAUACUAUAUGGACUGCCACCUGCUAAUGCACAAUCUGCUCCUGUUUCCCAGAAUCACCUGGCUUCCUGGUCUCCACAACUCGCCAGUCCGUUACCAUCGCCUCACAGCCCAGUUAACCCCCCGGAUACUCACCUGGUCCGUCUACCUCUCUCCGCCACCAUCUCUGACGAUUUCCCCCUUUUCCUCACACCAGCCGUCGCACCCUCCGAACACCAAUCCACACACUGAGCCUUCUCCAGGCCCUCCACCCUCGACAUUUCCCCGGCUCUCCUGUCUCCCCUGUUCCUGUUCUGUUCAGCGAAGUCUCAGUCCGUGCUUUCCAGACUAGCCUGAGUUCUAGUUCUGUAGCAUUCUGUAGAUUAGUAUAGCUCGAGUAUCUUCUGUGAGUGUUAUCACUCAUUUGUCUAUUGCCUGGUAUGCCAGCCUAGUUCGAAACACCUUUUCUUCUGGUUUAGGUUAGUAUUGUUGUUCUUGUGUCCUGCAGGUAGUAUAUCUGAGUAAUCCCAGUGAGUGUAGCCACUCUUUUGUUGUGCCUGGUACAGUAUAGGUCUAGUAGUUCCAGUUUAGUUUUCUGUAUACUGUACUCUGUAUUUUCUAGUAUGUGUAGUUUCACUUUCCUACCAAGGCUUUACCUGCAAUAGGUUAGUUAUCUUGCUUUGUAAAUAUCCCUUUGUAUAGUCUGCCAGCCUCUAGGGGCACUACUGAGUGAAUCAGUAUCUGUAAACACCAGUAACCUGGUUCUACUUCCGGUUGUAGUCUUCUGGUUCAGUUUUGUAGUUCUUGUACCUGUUUACCUCUGUAAAUAAAGCUGUUGAAUUUGGA